rnacentral:rRNA from 1 species
UACGUAGGUGGCAAGCGUUGUCCGGAAUUACUGGGUGUAAAGCGCGCGUAGGCGGUAGGCCAAGUCUGCUGUGAAAUCGCCCGGCUCAACUGGGCGCGGUCGGUGGAAACUGGUCAACUGGAGGACGGUAGAGGCGAGUGGAAUUCCCGGUGUAGUGGUGAAAUGCGUAGAGAUCGGGAGGAACACCAGUGGCGAAGGCGGCGUCUGGGUCGAUACUGACGCUGAGGUGCGAAAGCGUGGGGAGCAAACAGG